GAUGAACGCUGGCGGCGUGCCUAACACAUGCAAGUCGAGCGGAAGGACGCUAAGCUUGUGCUUUUGAUGUUAGCGGCGGGCGGGUGAGUAACGCGUGGAUAGUACACUUAUAUGUCGGGGAAGAUCACGGAAAACCGGAUAUAAUACCAGAGAAUAUUCUGAACCGCAGGGUGCAAAGGUAAGAGACGGCUUUGGUGAUAGGAAUAGCUGGUUCCGGGCUGGAUUAGCUGGUUGGUAAGGUCACGGCCUACCAAGGCAACGAUGCGUAGCCGGGCUGAGAGGGUGAUCGGCCACACUGGAACUGAGACACGGUCCAGACUCCUACGGGAGGCAGCAGUAGGGAAUCUUCCGCAAUGGGCGAAAGCCUGACGCAGCAACGCCGCGUGAGUGAUGAAGGUCUUCGGUUCGUAAAGCCCUGUUAUUGGGGAAGAACAGCUGUGGGCGUAGAUGUGCACUUCUUGACGGUACCUAAUCAAAAAGCACCGGCUAACUACGUG
rnacentral:rRNA from 1 species